AUGUGCCUCUUUACGUCCCCAUACGCAGCUCUGAGUCUAUGGAAUGUAAAGAAGUACGUUG
rnacentral:pre_miRNA from 1 species